rnacentral:rRNA from 1 species
AUGAUCGUGCGCAGGACCCAACCGCUGGCAGAGUGCCCUUGCAGGGACGCGAGCCGAGCGCUCCGUGGUGCCUCAACGACAAGCAACCAUUAUAUGCAUACAACAGUUGAACACGCAAGCAAAAGUUGUCCACAAGCCGAGCGCGUGGAGGUACGCGAAGAGAGCGCGCGACGGCGCCUAACGGCGAGGACGGCGCGUUGUGGUGCCUAUCGGCGAGUAGAGCGCACCGAGGGACAUAUUGCAAGGUUCAAAUUCGAGCAUUACAAGGCCCAAAUUCAAAGCCUGCCAGCCACCCCAGCGCGCCGCCGGCGUGCCAGCCCCGCAGGCACCGCGCGUGCCGCCGUCUCCGUCACCCGGUGCACCUCCUUCACCGCCACCCCCACAUCUUCUUUGCCGCCACCAUCCAACGCACCAACGCCACAACCAGCACCCCACGAGAGCGCCGACGCGCACAGAUCCGGCGGGAUCCCGACCGGAGUGGGCCGGCGACUUGCCCCUACCUCCCCUCACCUCUUGGCAACGCGCACGCCCCUGCCUCCCGCCGGAGCACCGCCUCCUGCACCUCCCACCGAUGCGCCGCCCCCUCCACCUCCCUCCGACGUGCUGCUCCUCCAUCUCCAGAAGAGGCUACAGGUUUCGCUUGUGCUGACAAGUCACCUGAUGUUUCUAGAGCCACCAAGUGGCAACCACAACGAGCGUAGCCAGCGUCGCCAUUGGCGCAAGCUCGUCGCAUCGAAAGAAGUUCAUGUGAGCCAGCUGAGUGGCUUGUCGGAUGUUGUUAUCGUGGAUGACGACGGCGAUCUCGUUCUCAAUCGAAGAAUGAAGAGACACAGGAGAAGGGACGAGGAUCAUGUGCUUACCGUGCAGCACGACGUCACCUCUUCGCUCCUGAGCGUCGGGCUUCUUACUGGAGAUCAUUCUGUGUCAGAUUUCCUACUGUGUAUCGUCCUUCUUUCAUUAGUGGUCCAUUGUUUGCUGUUGUUGGUUUACAGUGUUACUGCCAUGGAGAUCGGUGUUGGGGCAGGUCAAAGUGUUGUGUCGAGAAGUUCAAGGCCCUCCCUAACUUCUCAAAGAAAACAUCCUCUCCCACGCACUGCCCCCAUCUUCUCCCGCAACCCCCGCCCCGCGCCCCAACCUGAAUCCAGCCGGCCAGCCACCCCAGCACGCCGGCGGCGCGCCAGACCCCGCAGGCAUCCCGCGUGCCGCCGUCCCCGCCACCCAGUGCGCCUCCUUCACCGCCACCCCCACAUCUUCUUCGCCGCCACCAUCCAACGCACCGACGCCACAACCAGUGCCCCACGAGAGCGCCGACGCGCACAGAUCCGGCGGGAUCCCGACCGGAGUGGGCCGGCGACUUGCCCCUACCUCCCCUCACCUCUCGGCAACGCGCACGCCCCUUCCUCCCGCCGGAGCACCGCCUCCUGCACCUCCCACCGAUGCGCCGCCCACUCCACCUCCCUCCGACGUGCUGCUCCUCCACCUCCAGGUGAUGCACAACCCAACCACCCCCCAGCAACGGCGCCCCUUGAUACCAGGCUCCCUUUAGCUGGCCGCCGGAGCCGCACUCAUCCCGGGCACCUCCCGCCUCACGCGGAGGAACCUACACUGUGCCGCUUCUUGGCUCACAUCCAGAAGAGGCUACAGGUUUCGCUUGUGCUGACAUGUCACCUGAUGUUUCUAGAGCCACCAAGUGGCGACCACAGCGAGCGUAGCCAGCAUCGCCAUUGGUGCAAGCUCGUCACAUCGAAAGAAGUUCAUGUGAGCGAGCUGAGUGGCUUGUCGGAUGUUGUUAUCGUGGAUGACGAUGGCGAUCUCGUUCUCGGUCGGAGAAUGAAGAGACACAGGAGAAGGGACGAGGAUCAUGUGCUCACCGUGCAGCACGACAUCACCUCUUCGCUCCGGAGGGUCGGGCUUCUUACUGGAGAUCAUUCCGUGUCAGAUUUCCUACUGUGUAUCAUCCUUCUUUCAUUAGUGGUCCAUUGUUUGCUAUUGUUGGUUUACAGUGUUACUGGCAUGAAGAUCGGUGUUGGGGCAGGUCAAAGUGUUGUGUCUGAGAAGUUCAAGUAUGUUAGUUUAUACUACAUUAUUGAGAAGCUCCAACUGGUUGUAGCAGUGCAUUGA